UAAGUGGAUCUAUUUGUAGAAAAUGAAAAAGUCCAUUUGUUGAAGCUCUCAAACAUGUUUUUAGCAAAGUGCCAACCAACUAACCCCAUAAUUUGUUUGAUUACAUUUCUUUUUCUUUCAGAUCUAACAUGGGGUGGUAAAAUCUGAUCGUUAGCAGAGAUUCCCCGCUGGGAUUAAAGCAGACAGCAUCUAAUCAUCUGCUUUGCAACAUGCAAGAUUUUAAAGCUAGUUCUGUUUUUUUAUGGCACCAGGUCAACGCAAAGUUGAAAGUAGGAUCAAAGAUUCUCCAGCACACAUGCAUUCACAAAAUACACAGAGACAGCAGCUCUAACAAGCAUCUAUUUUCAUGUUCAUUAGAUUUAGUUGCAGAGUGAAAAUGUUGCUUAUUAUAUUGGGAUUUACAGUACAUAUACACACAGAGUCAAGUUUUCAGAUUUUCAAAGAGUCUCUUGUUUAAUUUGACCAUAAUAUCAUCAUCUUUUAUGUUUUGCUGGUUUACUCUCAUGCAUAAUGUUUUCCAGCAGUCGUCUUUCUGCACGUAUUCAUGCUCCAGGAAAUGAAGAGCUUUGGGAAAAUCAGCUGGGGGUCUCUUACUAGCCUCCCGAAAUCAUGAAGCUUAUCUUGUUUUGUUUUAUGAUGUCAAGUUCAGCUAAUCGGAGGAACAUCUGAAGUUGAUCCUCUACUGAAGCAUAAUGAUGAACUCCAUUAAGUCUCACAACUAUGAAACAUCCAUUAAAGAGCCACUUAGCAUGUUUUCCUCUGGGUAUAGGUUCAAAGAAACUUCUUAUCAACAACCGUUUUUGGCUGUUUAGGUUUCUUGAGUUGCUUUUUGCAUUUUAGAAGUUCUUCAUAUUGUUUUUCUUGGUUUUUAAGCAACAGGGCACAGAUGGUUUUCUGAAGAAUUAUAAUAAAAAUACUUUAUGGAACUUCAA